UGUGUUAUUAACGUCAUGUACCCAGCAGUUGAGAGCAGCCUCUCUGCUGCACCGUUAGCUCCAGGGAAAGCCAUCGUUGUCCAAGACGCUUGAGGUGGAACAGACUGAGCACCAAGGUUUUUUCUUCACCUCAGAGUUGGUUUAAGUUGUGUAAUGCUGCAGUGUGUUGGUCAGCUGGUCUUGUUUGUUACUGCUGGAGUCUGCUGCUCUGCUCCACUAAUGUUAGUCUCUGAGGGAUGGUGUUGAAAGUUCACAAUAUACUUCACAUUUGUCUUGGAAAGGUAAUUAUUGAGUCAUUAAAUCAAAACAUGCUUGCAACUGCUGCUGUUUUUGAAGCUGUAUUACAAGAUAACUAACGUGUGUGCACUGUGCACAGGAAUUUUAACAAAGGUGGUGGCCAGUAAUACAAAGGCCUUUGAGUUAGAUACGCAGGGAAAACCCUGUUAUUAGACAUCUCGGCAGCCUUAUUUAUCAGUAGUAGACAAAUCCACUACUUUUUUGGCCACAGUCAAUCUGUUUUGAUUUGAUUCCCAACGUAAUUGCCAACACUUUUUUAUUGCUGAUGCAUGCCAAUUAACAAUACUUGCUUGUCUAAUCCAAACAAGUCUGAUCAGUGUUUUCCAUAAGUGGCACAGCACAAGGAUCAGUGCACAGAUCCUUUAUCCCUCUAUAAUGAACACACAGGCUUCCAUCCAGUAUUCUCUAUUAAGUUGGAAGGGAGGUUAUCUCAUAGAGGAGGGGUAUCUCUCCUUCUGUUUUGUCUCAAUCUGUGAAUGCGUCCCAACUCUUAACAGCAUUUUAGAAUAUUUAAGUAUUAAACAGUGUGCUGUCUGGUUUUGUAUGAAUUUAGUAAGUUUAUUUAGGUGGUCUACCUGUAACUCACAUUCCAAGCUCCCAUACAGCCGAAUGUUUUGGUGCUCUAUAUGUAAAUUGGCACAUGAUGAUCAGCAUAAUGUAAUCUGUAGUAGUAACUUUUUAAAUAGCCAAUAGCAUCUUUCCUUACAAGGCAGUUGCCAAAUCUAAACAUUUUUGUAGUUACCCAUCAGACACAUUUCACCAUCAGCAGAAAUAACACACACACACAAUGCCUUCAAGCCAAAAGAACAUGCACACAUCACACAUUAUAUUGAACGUCAAGGAUAUUUUAUAGUUUUUGGCUUUCAGAAUUAUAUUACACAUCAUCUUAAAAAUCUGCUCUCCAAAUAUAUGAUCCCAAACUUAAUUGCAUUUGAAAACCAAAAACAAAUGUUACAUUUUUUUUGUUUUACAUAUGUGAGGUCAUUACAUAUCAUAAUGACCACAGUUUAGUCUUGUUAUACAUAUAUGUAAUACAUAUCAAUAAUAUACAAUAUAUAAGUAUCAAAGACUGGCCUCCUCUUGGCUUAGAAUGUGGUGAAGUUAAAAAAGAGGAGAAAAGAAAAAAGGUGGUCAUGUCAGUUAAGACUGAGUCCAAUGCUAACUUUCCCUUCAUUUGAAGGCAGCCUAGUAAAAAUGUUGUGUUUGUUUAAAGAAUACACUUUGAGUCUGCGGGCAGUGGAACAGUCAAACUAUGAGCUGUCAGAUACAUCUGACCUGCUGACCACAUACAUUAUAGCAGAUUCCAAACCUCAGGGUACACUUGCCAAGCAAACCACACAAACAACUCAACUGCUCUCUAAUGACUGGACAGACCUGUUAUUUAUCAUACAUGCUAGCAGUUCCCACGAUCAAGAUCAAACAUUCAUAAUCACAUUAAGUAUGUGUGGGGUACAUGUGAAGUGUUUUGAAUUUCAGUUCCCCUUUUCAGUGACUGUUUUUGUCCAUGCUGCAUUUUGUCAAGACGAGGUAAGAAGGGGUCCAUCAUUGUGGUCAAUAUUUAGCACUGUGUUUUGACAUGAAACUCCCAUACACAUGAUGUGUGCUUUUUGUGCAGAUUUUUUUUUUUCUGUUGAUCUGUAGGAGAUGGUGAAUCUCUCUAUAGUUGAUGGCUGGGACAAGGUGGCAUCAGACAGCCUGACCACUCCAAGUGAUCAAUAUGGGAUGGUACUGUGUGAUAACAAAUGACUGUCAUGGGGUACUCAUUCAAGAAAAUGAAAAGCCAUCUUCCAACUCUGUGAAACAACAGAAUUUAAUCAUUUUCAGCCCUUGGCAAACAUCUACACUGUUUUUUUUUAAAAGAGAAAUAAUAUUAGAAGGAAUUAGACCAAGUUCCAAACAAUAAGCCUCUGAAUGUAGAUGCUCCUUUCAAGAAGAACACUUGAGAUAGACUUGGUUUGAGGUAGACAAUGAUGCUCUGUACAAAGCAUAUUUUGGAGUAUCACAACACUCCUUUUUGAGUGGUGGCUGUAAAAAGCUGCCCCCUUAUGAAGACCUUCUCCUGGCAGAGCUUCCCGAGCUUUGAGUAAGUCAACUUUGAAACAGUGUGUAUUUAAACAGACUAGAAAAUACAGUUUAGAGAUUUCGAUGGACGUUUUUCCUGCCGUGAAAAUUUGUAACAAACCUACAGGGAAUAUCAUCUCUUUAAGGUAAUGAAGUAAAUCAUCAUGUUCCCUCUUCCUUCAGCUAACUCACCAAAGUAAAUAUUUUCCUCAUGUCUUUCCACAAACAAUAAAUCAGUAGUGGUGGGCUGAUGUUAUUUGCACUCUAUUUUCUCUCAUUCAUGCUCUCAUAUAUUCACACACACACACACACACACACACACACACACACACACACACACAGCACAGAUGCAGACAGUAAUCCUCUUAAACUGCUUUUUAAGCAACCAUUUGUCAUCCCGCUGUUGCAUCUUGGGAAAAUUGCAGUCCUACAGGAGGAGGAGGAUGUGGAGAAUGACUGACUGAGGAAUAGCAAACACAGUCACGUAGCAACCUUUAGUAAACGGCCACUUUUCAGUCAUUAUGGAGGAUCCAAUAGCCCAGACGCAUAAUGGCAGCAAACGUCUCCCCACGCAUCUUUCUUCUUAAUCGUCACUGUUUGCGCAGUGGAAUCUCUUUAAAUUAUUGAUGUCAUGGGGGCUAAAGUGUACCUAACCCAGAAUGUAUUGUCAUUAUGCUUGGAUUAACGGACAUGAGCAUUGGUCCACUAGAAAGAAUGGCAUGAAUAUAUACUUGAAAUGUUGUAACGCCAUUUGACCUUGGCUACUGGUUGUUGAGAUGGGUUCAACUAUGCUUCAUAUUAUUACAAGUUAAGAUGUGUUUCUCAAAUUUCAUUAGCUGCUAUGAGUAAGCUCUGAGCUUUUCUUACUUGGACACUUCUGUUAAGGGAUUGACCAUUUAAAGCAAAUGGCUUGUGACCUUUAAGACAUUUCCGUCAGCCUUAGCUGUACUUUGCAUUUAGUUUUAAUUAGCUAAUGGUAGCACGCUAACACAUUAUACCUGCUAAACAUCAGCAUAUUAGCAUUAUCGUUGUGACCAUGCUAUCAUGCUGAUGUCAGCAUGUAGUACAGCCUGACAGAGCUUCUAGUGUGGCUGUAGACUCUGUUUGACUCUUGGUCUUGUUUAUAUGAGUUUGGCACACUGGUGGAGCUUGGUGGGUGUGUAAAGAUAUCAUGUAUUUUUGUUGGAUUGGGUUUUUAGUGUAGAAUCUAUUUAGAAUAGUAGAUUGAAGAAAUCCAGGCGAAAGUAUAAAUGGAAAAAUCUUUUGUCCUUGUGUUGCUUCAUUGAUACUUAAAAAGCAUUAUGCAGUAUAAUAACUUCACUCAAAGGACAUUCACCAAACUGCCUUUGCUUAGCACUACUUUUGAUGCUCUCCAGAGAAAGAAUAGCACGUUUUGUCCUUCUUUUAAUGCAAUGUCAACAGUGUUUUUUAAAGUGACAAAAAACACCCAACUUCUUCCCUGAUAAGACUGAAUAAUCUUAAGCAACAGCCGAGUAAGUUGUGACUUAACUCAAUUUAUAUGUAAAUGUAAUAUUUCCUGUGUAAUGAGCUUAUUGUAUUAUGUCAGCAUUGGCUGGUUUGGUUUUGUGUCAUUCAGAAAGGCAACCACAAUCAAUAUCGUUACUUUGUAUUUAUAUUCUUUUGGAUGGGCAGAGAUUUGCAUAGUUGUGCACAUUGUGUUAGCCUUUUAAUCUGUGGCAAGAACUAUAUGAAGCCAAACAAUAGAACAUCUGUAAGCAUGAAAAGGGAUGAAUAUUUGUUAACUUCACAUACAAUUUGUCUCUCUACUGAAGCUAUUUCAGGAGAUAUUAAAACAUAAUUUGUACAUGUGUGUGCAUUUUGAAAAGGCCUUAUUUUGAAUCUUAUUGUCAUAAAGCUUAUUUAACAGUCAGCUAAAGUGGAUGACAGCUGUUUUAAAAAAAAAAAAAAAAAAAAAAAAAAAAAGAUUUCUAUGCAGUGUGUGUAUUUGUGUGUGUAUCAUAUCACUGUACAAUGCCUAAAUGGUCCAUGACGUGUGCUGAAGCCUUGUGUCAGCACUUUACAGUGUAUCAGGCAGUGACUGUGAUAUUAUAGUGGAGUAUUAGUAUGCUAAAUGAGUCCCAGUAUACAGUAUGGUUUGUACAUCACUUCAUAUCAUUACUGGGAGAUUUACAUUGUCCCUAAAUUAAUAGAUAGGUGGAUACAAGUUUGUGUGGUGUCAUCCAGUUGAAGUUGUAUUGUCAUUCAUUCAGUCUAUGAUUGAACACCACUAUGUUAUCAGCGUUUGUAUUAUGUUACUGUGCAUUACUGUAGGUCUUCUCUGGUAUUUGAAUAAGUGUUUUGGUGUUUUAACUACCCUGAUCUUUGUAAAUUGUCUCUUAUGAGAGAAGGUUCACUCAAGCAACGCCGUAAAUGUUUUUAAUCCACCAGCCUGGCAACACAGCUUCAUGUUAGCUCUGAAGCAAAGCAAUUAAGCUCAUUACUGCGUCUGCAUUCUGCCUGCCAACACACAAAGCGCAGAAAAUGCCACAGAUCUGAGACAUUUUAUUCGAUAUUUUCUCACUUAAUACCAAAGUUAAAAUUGAGAUUUUCAAUGUCAGCAGGCUUUGGUCAGGUUCAGGUUUUGUUAUUUGCAUGUUAUCUUUAGUUCUCUUUCUGACUGCACCAUGUGUGACACAUAAUGUCCAGUGGGGAAAAAAGGCAGAGAGCAUAGUUUAUGCAUUGCAUUAGAUGUGCAAUCUAACCAGAAAUAGAAGAAAUAACUCCACAUCAUGGUAGAGGGGGGUUUGUAAAAGUCCCCAAUUAUUUGGGCUUUUUAAUUUUUAAUACUGGUAGCAUAUUGUCUGACCUGCAGUCAUGCCUGGACAAAGUACAGUUCCUGGGUUCUGAGGUUCAGUUACACUUUACACUUUAUUACAUUACAUUAUUAUUCACACUGACCGAUAAAUCGUGUUUUCAUUGUCAUCGUGAUAUGAACAUAUGCCGUAAACACAUCGCAGAAGACAACUGCCUGAAACACGAUGAAUAAGAAAAAUCAUUUUAGUUACACAUGCCCUGCAUUCACUCUCAGCAUGCCAACAUUUGUCCUAUCAGAUGGAGCCCAUGGACCAUGUAUUCACACUGUUUGGCCAAUCAGAUGAAGUCCCAGCUAGCCGUCAGCUACCCUCAGAUUAAUUGGUGUCAAUUUUGGUGGCGACUGCGAGGAUAGCUAGCACAAUAGCUGAGGAAGGGGAGAAGAAUGUGGUGAAAAAGAACAACACUUAUGAUAUUUGGAAUUAUUUUGGAUUCAGGAAAGAUGAUGUGUUACAAAUACAGGCACUGUAAAACAUGCAGAACAGUUGUGGGGACUUCCAGAGGAAGCAUAAUCAACCUCCAUCACCACCUGCAAUACAACCAUAAAGAACUACACUAACAAUUUAAAACUAGCCAAACCACAAAUGUCGAAUAGCAGCGAAUCUAAAACCUUCCCAUCAUAGCAACAACAGUCCAUUUCUCAGAGUGACAAAACAUUCAACCGCCACAGAGAAAUAACAAAGGCCAUUACUUGGUGGUGGAGAGAAAAAAACACUGGGUGAAUCGCAGAUCCUGCUUUUGAUUUUGAAGGUCGAAAUUGAACACUCAUUUUGAUCCAUUUUCAAGUUAGUCAAACGUGAAGGCUAUCGAACUCAACCACUUGGUCAGACUUCAGUGUUUUGGCCACAGGUUGCGCCUUGCCAUCGGUAAGUGUAAAUGAAUACAUUUGCUUUAUGUGGCAUUAUUGUAAUCUAUUGCAGUCUUAUUUUAUAACCCGAACAGAUUGGAUUAUUCAUUGAGAUGAUUCAAGCAUGCCCAUUUUAUUACCUAAUGUUAUUGUUGUCAAUUGCAGUGUAUAGCCAAAGACUGAGUUCUCACGGGCUUUAUUUACCCGAGUCCGACCUUGCCCAAGAGGGGGAAAUCAUGUGAUGGCAUUUAGGCUGUCUUAAUAUUAUUGAUUUGAAUAAAAAUGGCAAACACCAUUUUUUUUUUUUACAUAAUUCUCAUGUAAAAAUGAGAAUUAUAAUUGUACUUUUUUUUCCCCACUGAAUGGUCCACUGAAUAGCCUUUUUGGUUAAUUCUGAUACAUGUGAAAUACACUAAACUGAUGGCACACAGUUUGGGAAACACUUAAGCUUGACAUUGAGCUAGUGUUUUUGCAUUCCCCUGGGGGGUGCCAGAGUUUCAGGGGAGGCAUGCCUCAUACAAUGAGAACCUCUGUGUCUGUUGUUUGUAUGUAACCUAUUGAUCUUGAGCUCAUGUCUACAAAUUAAACUACUACUAAAUGUCACAUGAUGGUAGUGUGUCUCAUAGUGCCUGAAUCAUUACUUUGUAAUUACUGUAUUUACACUAGUAUGUAGUCCUGGAAUUGUUACUUUGUAAUAAUUGUACUUAUUUAUGCAGUCUCUGAAUUAUUACUUUGUAAUUAUUACAAAAUUGUUAUUUUUGCAGUUAGGUUACAAUGAUUAAUGGUAGGUUUUAAUAUUUUUUUCGAGUGUUUUCAUGUCAUCUUUUCAGAAAGUGCUGUUAAAAGAUGAAAGCCGCAUUGCCCGUGCUGCUGGGCUUUGCAAAAAAUUGGUGGGACAUUUCUCCCAUAGCUUGAAGCAGAGGAUGGCACUGAAAGAAGCACAACAGGAACACAACGUCCUAGAGCACUCACUCAUCACAGAAUGCCCAACUAGGUGGGGCUUGAGGCAAAAGAUGAUAGAGAGGGUCUUGGAGUAGCAGUGGGCCAUAUCUGAUGUUCUCUCAGCAGACCGAAAAACACGGCAUGUGGUUCCUUUCUGGCAGGACCUGGAUGUACUUGAGUCUGCAAACUUGGCAUGAACUUACUGAUGUUUUUUCCGGGGAAAGCUAUGUGAGUGUUUCAUAUGUGAAACUAGGCCUUCAUCUCUUGAAGACAUCAGUUUUUGCAGAGAAGGAAGAUGACACCAAUUUAACAGACCAUUAACGUGAAAAUCCUUGAUUACAUGAGUAUAAAGUAUGAUGACCCCAGGAACACAAGAACUUUUGGACACUGCAUCCUUCAUGGACCCCAAGUCCACGGUCAGCUAUAUCAGCAGCGAAAAAGUCCAAGACAUCAAGACCAGGAAUACCUUCUGACAACACUGAGGCCCAAUACAUGGAUCCACCCAGCAACAAGAAGGCAAAGCGAUCAUUGGGCAGUUUGCUCAAAACAAAUCCAGGCCCUACUCCCACUGCAUUUUCCAUGCAGCUGGAGCAAGCCUUUGAAGCUGAACUUAACAGCUUCUUGCUGUCCCCUGCCAUUGACAGUGAGGUAGACCCUUUGGCUUGGUGGAAUUUCCACCGGGUCACCUAUCCAAAGCUUAGAAAACUAGCUCGGAGGUAUCUUUGUAUACCUGCCACUAGUUUACCCUUGCAGAGGCUCUUCAGCACAUCAGGGAAUGUAGUAACAUGUCAUUGUGCAUGUCUCAAACCUUUUCUUGGCCAAGACCUUGUCCUAAGGGAAUAACUAAGGUAGUAACUUGCACUAAGGUGUAGAUAUUGAUUUGAUUUUAUCUUAUUUUGUCUUGAUUUAGCAGCCUUACUCUAUUUCAAUUUUCUGCCUUAUACUAUAGAUCUCUGCACCAUGUUGGGCAGAGUCAAGGGCCUAAACGAUUGUAAUGGGAGACGUUAGUUAUUUUAAAUUGCUAUGUUUAAUUUAUAUAUAUUUAAUUAUUUAAGUUGUUUUACCCCAGAUUUUUUUUUAAUUUCAACACUGUAUAGUAAGAGAUGUUUUUGUUGAGUUUAGAAGAAAAUACUUAGCGGAGCAGGGGAAAUUAAACUUUAAUUUCUUAUAGUUGUGUCUUAUGUCUUAUCAAAAUGAAUGUUCUGUUUAGUUGGUUUGGUAUUCAUGUGCAAUUUGUUCAAUAAAAGCAUGUUUGAAAUAA